rnacentral:rRNA from 1 species
CAGAACGAACGCUGGCGGCAUGCCUAACACAUGCAAGUCGAACGAGAUCUUCGGAUCUAGUGGCGCACGGGUGCGUAACGCGUGGGAAUCUGCCCUUGGGUUCGGAAUAACAGUGAGAAAUUACUGCUAAUACCGGAUGAUGUCUUCGGACCAAAGAUUUAUUGCCCAGGGAUGAGCCCGCGUAGGAUUAGCUAGUUGGUGGGGUAAUGGCCUACCAAGGCGACGAUCCUUAGCUGGUCUGAGAGGAUGAUCAGCCACACUGGGACUGAGACACGGCCCAGACUCCUACGGGAGGCAGCAGUGGGGAAUAUUGGACAAUGGGCGAAAGCCUGAUCCAGCAAUGCCGCGUGAGUGAUGAAGGCCUUAGGGUUGUAAAGCUCUUUUACCAGGGAUGAUAAUGACAGUACCUGGAGAAUAAGCUCCGGCUAACUCCGUGCCAGCAGCCGCGGUAAUACGGAGGGAGCUAGCGUUGUUCGGAAUUACUGGGCGUAAAGCGCGCGUAGGCGGUUACUCAAGUCAGAGGUGAAAGCCCGGGGCUCAACCCCGGAACUGCCUUUGAAACUAGGUGACUAGAAUCUUGGAGAGGUCAGUGGAAUUCCGAGUGUAGAGGUGAAAUUCGUAGAUAUUCGGAAGAACACCAGUGGCGAAGGCGACUGACUGGACAAGU